UCUUAUGAAUGAGCAAAGAAAGUGGUUUCUUUUUAUGGAAUCUACUUGUAGUGAAGGUAUUGGGAA
rnacentral:pre_miRNA from 1 species